rnacentral:lncRNA from 1 species
UAUAUUUUAUCCCUAGUGGGGUUUAUUUUGAUUUGGUUUGUUGUUUUUUUUUUUUUUUUUCAGGGAAUCAGAGACUGCUUUGGGUGGAAGGGACCUUUGAGAUCAUCUUGUCCCAACCCCCUGCCAUGGGCAGGGACACCUUCCACUAUCCCAGGUUGCUCAGAGCUCCCCCCCAACCUGACCUGGAACACUUCCAUGGAUGGGAAGGAAUUUUCUUUCAUCCUUCUUCCUUUAGGAGCACAUGGCCUUGCCUAAACUCUGUUCAGAUGAGCUCCAGCCCCUGAAGUCAGCAGGAGCAGCAGAGAUCUCACCAGGGAGAAGGUCCAAGGAAACACAAGCUGCAGGAGCUGGGUUGAAUAAAAGUCCGUUCACCACCACAGGGCUGCUGGGAAGAUCCCAGGGAGAAGGAGCCAGCAGCCAAACAGGAGUCAGGAUUGUGGUAAGUUUUCCUUGAAGUGCUGAUCCAACCUUUCUCAGAAAUUCUGAUUCCCACUGACAAACUGAGUUUCAGAAUUCCCACAGAAAUCUGGCCAGAAGUUGUUCCCUUGCCGAGGGCCCUGCUUUGACUGCAAAUCCAAGAGCUCAUUGCUUGUACGAUUCCUGGGACAGUAACAGGAUAUUUUCCUGUAAAAGGGUAUUUUCCCACUUUUCCUCUUCCAACUAUGUUGCCACAGAGAAAAUAAUCAUCUUGGGCCAGGAGGAAUCAUGAAAUGUGCUUCAUGGCUUUGCCUUGUGCUCGUUCCACUUUGGCAUGAAGUCAAACAGUCCAGGAAACGCCAAAAUCCCCGAAUGCCAAGAGGAACCAUCUCCAAGGAUGUGAGAAAAGUUAUCCAGAGAUUUUCUUCCCUCUGUUAGCACAUCAGCAAGCCAGACAAUAUCCUCAAACACUGAAAUUAUGUUUUCUGUGCAGCUAAACUGUAAAAAUGUUGAUGGUUUUUCUGUCUGAAACAUUUCAGGCUCAUGCUUUUCCAAAGUCAAUUCAAAUCCUUCAAUAUCUUUGGCACUGAUUUAUUUAGCUGAUUGUAAGAAAUUAUUUAACAAACCAUCAGGGUCCUGCCUGCUGGCCAAUGUGGCUAUUGGGAUUUGAAAAUCGAAGUGAUGUUAAAUUCUUAGAAACAAUAAAAAGAAAAUAAAAGGAAAGCA